rnacentral:rRNA from 1 species
CAGUCGCCGCGGUAAUACGAAGGGUGCAAGCGUUAAUCAGAAUUACUGGGCGUAAAGCGUGCGUAGGCGGUGAGUUAAGUCUGCUGUGAAAUCCCCGGGCUCAACCUGGGAAUGGCAGUGGAUACUGGCUCGCUAGAGUGUGUCAGAGGAUGGUGGAAUUCCCGGUGUAGCGGUGAAAUGCGUAGAGAUCGGGAGGAACAUCAGUGGCGAAGGCGGCCAUCUGGGACAACACUGACGCUGAGGCACGAAAGCGUGGGGAGCAAACAGGAUUAGAUACCCGCGUAGUCCCUGUCUCUUAUAC